rnacentral:rRNA from 1 species
UGGGGAAUAUUGCACAAUGGGCGCAAGCCUGAUGCAGCCAUGCCGCGUGUGUGAAGAAGGCCUUCGGGUUGUAAAGCACUUUCAGCGAGGAGGAAGGGUGGUGUGUUAAUAGCACAUUGCAUUGACGUUACUCGCAGAAGAAGCACCGGCUAACUCCGUGCCAGCAGCCGCGGUAAUACGGAGGGUGCAAGCGUUAAUCGGAAUUACUGGGCGUAAAGCGCACGCAGGCGGUUUGUUAAGUCAGAUGUGAAAUCCCCGCGCUUAACGUGGGAACUGCGUUUGAAACUGGCAAGCUAGAGUCUUGUAGAGGGGGGUAGAAUUCCAGGUGUAGCGGUGAAAUGCGUAGAGAUCUGGAGGAAUACCGGUGGCGAAGGCGGCCCCCUGGACAAAGACUGACGCUCAGGUGCGAAAGCGUGGGGAGCAAACA